AGCAGCCGCGGUAAUUCCAGCUCCAAUAGCGUAUAUUAAAGUUGUUGCAGUUAAAAAGCUCGUAGUUGAAUUUUAGGCCUGGCCGGGCGGUCCGUCUUUGGCGAGUACUGUUCUGUGUCGGGUCUUACCUUCUGGUAAACCGGCAUGUUCCUUUAUCGUGUAUGCCGGGGAACCAGGACCAUUACCUUGAAAAAAUUAGAGUGUUUAAAGCGGGCUUUUGCUUGAAUAGAUUAGCAUGGAAUAAUAAAAUAGGACGUUGGUUCUAUUUUGUUGGUCUAGGACCACCGUAAUGAUUAAUAGGGAUAGUUGGGGGCAUUAGUAUUCAAUUGUCAGAGGUGAAAUUCUUGGAUUUAUUGAAGACUAACUAUUGCGAAAGCAUUUGCCAAGGAUGUUUUCAUUAAUCAAGAACGAAAGUUAGGGGAUCGAAGACGAUCAGAUACCGUCGUAGUCUUAACCAUAAACUAUGCCGACUAGGAAUC
rnacentral:rRNA from 1 species